rnacentral:misc_RNA from 1 species
GAAAGAAGAGCAGUUACAAAACCCAUCCUCUGAUCAACCAAACGUUGUUCCUACUGCCUCUCAACUAGUCCCUGAAUCAACCAUCUCUUUACCCAUGUAAUAUGGCCUUAGAAGAACCAAAGCACAAGCCAGAAAAUCAGUUCUACCCAUUCCUCCAAAAAUCCAAGUAACCAUACCUGAAAAAGAACCCCUAAAGAAGAAGAAACAAG